ACAACAUGAACAACAUUUUUUCGACUUUAGGAGCUCCCCGCUCCCAAUUUCAUUUGCAGCAAUGAAAUUGAUAAUACAAAGCAAGUUUUCAUAUUCUGGUCACAAGGAUCAGCCCUGAUUUUAAAUUAGCAGACACAAAAUACCUCACAAUCGCAGCAAGAACACUACAUCCAACUACAUAACUCUAUACAGCCAACUAAUUACACGAAUAUGGGUAAAUAGCAACCCAACAUCACAACACACGAGAGCAACCAAUCCCACCAAAACUGAUGAACCAGCAAUACUACUCAAAAUACAGUACCACAACUGUAUCUACCUUAGUGCUCCACAAAACUCCAUCUCACCCUGCUAUUCUAAGCCCCAAAGGUGCCUAGCCUCUUCUUGUGCUGAAAAUCUCAGCCGCAACCUGCAGAAGCCACCUUGCUCCUCUCGCUUGCAUGGCGCCAUGUCCUCAUUUCUGUAUAAGAGACCAAAAUUUAAGGGUUAUUCCUAUAUUUUCAUGAUGCUCAAAUCAGUGCUGUGACACCAACUAAAUAUAUGGAUAACAACAAGAACAACAUUUAUGGCAGAAACAAAUAAGAAUUCAUCUAUAGGGUGAUGAUUAAGUAUGCAACAAACCAAUCUGACUGGAAUCAUCACUAAAUCUUGAGGUGACGAACCACGGGUAGAGAAGGGAUUGUGUUGUGGGGAGAAAAAAAAUCUAUAGAGAGGUUGAAGAUGGAGGGGCAACAUGGUGGAUCAGAGAAGAAUGGAUGCUAGUCUGCUAGAAGGGGGAAGCUCCACGGCGUGGGUGGCGCGGAGCAGGCAGACGUCUUCUCACAUGGUCGUGGUUAGGUCCUGUCCCGGCGUGCUGUUUUGACCUCCAUGGCAGCCAAGAUCGGAGCCUUAGCUAGGUGGCUGCGGCCGCGGCGAAUCUGGCCGCCGCCAUGACUGGCGCCUGAUCUGGUCGAUCUUGCUGUUAUCUUCUCUUCUGAUGAGGCGAGGAGGAGAGGGUGGGAGACGAGGUCGAUUGCUUUGGGGAGAGGAUAGGGGCGGAGGCUAACGAUGAGGUGGCGUGAGGUGGACCACUGGUCUGCUUGAGGUUGUGGUCGCCAGCGCUGCCUGCAUGAUUCGUCCAACCG
rnacentral:lncRNA from 1 species